rnacentral:rRNA from 1 species
CAGCAGGACUGUAGCAAUACAGUUGCUGGCGACCGGCAAACGGGUGCGGAACACGUACGCAACUUACCCAAAACUGGGGAAUAGCCCGGGGAAACCCGGAUUAAUACCCCGUAACAUAAUUGAAUGGCAUCAUUUGAUUAUUAUAGAUUUUAUCGGUUUUGGAUGGGCGUGCGCCUGAUUAGGUAGUUGGCGGGGUAAUGGCCCACCAAGCCUACGAUCAGUAACUGGUGUGAGAGCACGACCAGUCACACGGGCACUGAGACACGGGCCCGACUCCUACGGGAGGCAGCAGUAAGGAAUAUUGGUCAAUGGACGCAAGUCUGAACCAGCCAUGCCGCGUGAAGGAUGAAGGUCCUCUGGAUUGUAAACUUCUUUUAUAUGGGACGAAACCUCCGGAUUCUUCUGGAAUUGACGGUACCAUAGGAAUAAGCACCGGCUAACUCCGUGCCAGCAGCCGCGGUAAUACGGAGGGUGCAAGCGUUAUCCGGAUUCACUGGGUUUAAAGGGUGCGUAGGAGGGCAGGUAAGUCAGUGGUGAAAUCUCCAAGCUUAACUUGGAAACUGCCGUUGAUACUAUCUGUCUUGAAUACCGUGGAGGUGAGUGGAAUAUGUCAUGUAGCGGUGAAAUGCUUAGAUAUGACAUAGAACACCAAUUGCGAAGGCAGCUCGCUACACGAAUAUUGACUCUGAGGCACGAAAGCGUGGGGAUCAAACAGGAUUAGAUACCCUGGUAGUCCACGCCCUAAACGAUGGAUACUCGACAUACGCGAUACACAGUGUGUGUCUGAGCGAAAGCAUUAAGUAUCCCACCUGGGAAGUACGACCGCAAGGUUGAAACUC